CCUAGCCCAGGGUCUCCGCACCAGCCCCUUCUCACCUUUGACGCCGCCGCCUCCUCUCCUCUCCCUCAAUUCUCCUCGCGCCGCCGCACCUACUCCGAGCCCCUCCUCUUCCCCAUGCCACCGGCCUCCCUCCUCUGCUUCUCUCAUCGUCGGUCGCGGAUCUCCUCGCCGCGGUUGCAGUGGCCGAACAAGACGAAGAGGAGCUGCAGCGUUGGGUCCGUGCAGCGGCCUCCUCGCGGCGGCCAGCUGCUCGACGCGCCGCGCCACCGCUGUGGGAGAUGGUGAACACGAGGAGAUGCAGGGUGGCCUCGCCGAAAGAGGGUGGCGCCGGGAACCACCCACUGGCGAAGGAUCGCGUGGGCUGGCACUUCCCCGCGAUGCCCUCCUUCCCUGACUUCGCCGUCGACACUGCCCCCUCCCCUCCCGUCGAGGCUGAGCGUGCACAGCAUGGACGAGCCGAUCGCGACGAAACCAGACCGCUCGAGGCCGGGGUGCGAGAACAAGAUGAUGUCCAACAGGCGGAGAGUGGCCAUGGGAGGAGCAGCCCACAAUGAAAUCCAUUUUCUCUUUGUGUGUGUGAGGAUCGAGGAAGGAGAUGGCGUGGCCGCGUGGGGAUGAGGCGGUGGACAGAGGAAGAGGACAGAUCUGGAUCCAGGCGGCCACUCGUGUGUUUGAUCUGUAGAGUGGCCAGAGGAGUAGACCAACAUCCCUCUUUACCUUCCACGCAACACCAACAUGGGUUCUAGAGCUGCACUUAACUUGCUAACAUCAUCGCCUUGUUCUUCCUGGCAAUGUAAGGACCAUCAACUUCCAUCUGCAACUCUAGCACAAGAGUGAGGAUGGUGAGCCAACCGACAACACCGCAAGAUUCUACAAAUGGUUCUCAAAGGUUUGAUGGCGAUGACAUGGCGCAGUCGAGCAAGUUUUGGUCAAUGUUUCAUGGUUCAAUCAACGAAUGGUGUUAAAACUGAAAAUCAUGAAAGCAAGAUUUUGAGUGAUUCCUACCUCGAGCUUCUGCUUCAGUUGUUUCUUGGUUGUUCAAGUAUGCUUGGUGGUUCUCCAUCGAGGGUUGAGAUGGACCAUGCACUGGUUACAUCUUCUCCUAUCUCCAUGUUCUUCUUAAUUUUCUUUUGCAAUGAGAGCUGGAUUUAGACAGCAGUUUGUGCAGUCCAUGCUUUUAACAUUGAAAAUGAGAAGGUGAAAUGAUGGGUUUGGACAGUGCUGGUGUUUUUUUUCUGGGCAUUACAUUACUAAAAUGAACUAUAUUAACAAUUGUUGAACUUCCAUAGCUAAUAAGAUGAUUUUUUUCAGCAUUCGAUAUGGAACAAUUUUACCAUAUGUGGCUGCUUUCAGGUUAGUAAGUUUUGUUCUUCAUUAUAUUUUUCUUAUUAUUCUGAAUGCCACCAUGGACUCUUAGUUUCUUAGUAGUAUAUGCUUAAUUUGCUUUACUGGAGACAUACAUUUCCCUCAAACUGCAAGGAAUGAUGUAAUAUAAAGAGAAAAUCAGAUCUGUCUCACACCUACCUUCAAUAAUAAGAGGCCUCAUUCUAAUCUGUUGUGCUACCAUGUACAAGCAUUUACAAAUUAGUGUCAAGAUUAGAAUCUUAUUAUUAUAACCAUUUAUAAAUUAUGUGUACCUUGAACCCACAUGCCAUGGCACCAUUUAAUAACAUGUACAAACCACCAAGGACUUUGCUAGAUUUUUAUAUUUACAUAGAACUAAUAUUGUUCUAAUCUCAAUGCUCUUUUCCUUAAACUGAGUAGGUCAUAUAGAUAGGAAUGGAGAAUUAUUUCUAAAGUGGUCCGCCAUAGUUAAUAUGCUCCAGCCCCAAAUUUGAAGCUAUAUAAGACUUUGUUAUUUCUGCAUGUAGCUCACUGCUUGAUUCACCUGUAGAUAGAGCCAUUCCUUGUAGAUGCCUUCUCCUAUAUUGUGUGGUCAGUUUCUUCAAGUUCUGUAGACCCAAAAAAACAAGUUCAUUUUAAUUACAAUGGCUCUCGGUUGAAAGUUUUAGCCUGUGUAAUUGAUCUGGGGCUAACCAUUGACUUCGUGUAGCUUAUUUGUAGGUUCUUUGCCAUUAAUAACUCAAAUUCAUUAUGUGGUGUGUAGCUAGAACUGCACCUCAACUGACAGAAAGCAACACUUGCUAGCACAUACAAUUUCUUAUCUAGAUUUUUUUUUGUCAGUAAGCGAGCAAAUAUUGGGAGAACAAUGAAAUAGAAUGGACCUAUCAUGUUGAUCAUAUGAUCCAGUUCCAAGCUUUGAUCUCUUACAAAUAUUAUAAACAAAGCAUCAUGGGAUUAGUUUUUUUCUAAAUUAGAAGUGAAACCCCAAAUAUACUUCAAAGUUUUGUUGCUUCAUAAAUGUUGAUGUAAGCUU